rnacentral:lncRNA from 1 species
GUGGGAUCUUACGCCUGGAGGCAGAGAGGCUGUGUGGAGGGUCAUCUCGCUAGAGCUGGGACUUCAGGUCAAGGGGCUCAGGAAGGCAGUUGGGGGAUUUGUCAAGUCUCCCCAUGGACCAAACCCAAGUCAGAGGGCAAGGGAGUCUUGAUUAGCCCAUACAGGUAAAUUCUAAAGCACAGUACAGAUGGAAAAGGAUGCAGAAAGGGCCUGGAGGAGCAAAUGAAAGAUAUCCAGCAUAACCUUCCCCCCUACUUCUACUGGUUUAUUUAGAGUUUAUAGGUCUUGCGUACUUAAUCUGUAUUAAGUAUGUCCAUUAUCCUGUUGCAUUUUCUGUAAACCCUGUUUUCUCCAUCUGACAGGUAAGGAAACUGACUAGUGAAAUAAUUUGAGGAAUGGAGAUGUGAACAACUAAGCUGACACCUGCCUCUGUGGGACCUGAUCUUGUGUAUGGUAGUUGCUCUGUGGACAUUUGUGUGGUGGAUGGAUGGAUGAAUGAAUGAGGAGCAAACACACAGGAUUAGAUGGUGCAUCUCCCUGAGAAUCCUCAGUGUGCCUGUUCUCCAUGGGACUGGAGGCUCUCUGCAGAGAGGACCUUACAGCCUAGUGAACCACCAGGGAGUGAAUGCAUCAGGGGAGCUCUCUGUGGUGAAAAGGGUUUGUAAAACGAAGAUUUAUCCCUCAACUUUACAUGCUGACUUCGUGUAAAACAAGAUUCAGCUGCAAGGUAAAUGUCUGGGUUGAGUCUGGAGGAUGGAUGGUGGAGGACAGCUUGUGUUUUUCUUGAGGAACUUUGAGUUUGGGGAAGUGAAGAGACACCGAUGAGGGCAGGCAGUGGAGA